rnacentral:rRNA from 1 species
AUGGCCUCUUCUACCUCAGCGCCACCCAUGGCUGCCGCGCUGGCAAGCCCCGCCGCCGCUCCGGCUGGCGAGUCCAGGCCGCCGAGCUCGCCUUGCCUCGCCUCCUGCAUCUCGUGUGCCCCACUGGGCGCGGGGGUUCCCAUGUCCAGCGCCUCCUACUCGCUCCGCCAUGGCCUCCUCGACGUGGUUGAGCCUGACCACGACCCUCUCCACAUGCCACCUAGUUCUCGUCUCCUCCCUGUGGCAUCACGCGCCCGAAGCCCAGGACCUCCUCCGCUUGCUGUUGCCAUUGCUGUCAAGUCAGACGACUACCGGACAAAGAUUAUUGCCAAGUCCCAUCGUUGA